UAAACAAUUUUGUUUAAAAUUUAUUUAGUUUUCAAUUUAUAUCUUUUUUCUUUUAUAAACGCAAGAGGCGACCACGUAUUUGAAAGUUAACUUUCGUUCGCGACCAAGCCGAUAAAUGGUAAACGUUUCUAUCCCGACUGCGUAACACUUUCGUGUCAUAAAUAAAUGAAAUGCAGAAAAAAAGGAAGAUUUUUUGUACUUAAUUGUGGCUGUCAAAUUCCGAGAAGCUGAUUCUUUUCUUUGCUAAAUAAACAAACAAACCAAUAAUAAUUAUAGGAAAUAUGACAAAUUGAAAAACAAAGAAAAAAUUUGUUUUGAAAAUUAGUCAAUUAACUACCAGAAAAAGGGGUGUAAAGCGGUUUUUAGUGCACUUUUAAACUGUUAACAAUUGUAUUACCUUUUAAAACAAUACAUGCAUGCGGUACAUUUACUUCGCCACCGCAAAGAAGGUAAUUCUUUGCAUAGACGAUUUUAAAUUACAUAUUAAGAAUAACUAGUGGGACAAAUGCAAGUAUAUAGUAUAAUUCGUUUACAAUAACCAUUUUUUGAAUAUUCAAUGGUGGCGAUUGAAAGACAGCUGCAAUGAGUGAACUACUGCAGUUUAUUAUGUGGCAUUCCAUGAUGGGAUCAAACUAAAUGCUAAGCAAACUGUGGGAGGGUAUAAGCUGUAAAUAAAGUUCAAUGAGUUUCCCCAACAAAACAGCAGUCAAAAUUUAGGCGGACCAUAAAUAUCGAACAAAAAAAAAGAUGAACUAUAACAAAAUAUCUUUGAAGAAAUUGAAAAAAAUUGCAAAGUUAGCAAAUUACUGUCAACAGUUGAGGGUAUUAAAGGAGUACAGAAGUUUGGCGCUCCAGUCAACUUUUUCGCUAGUGAUGCAUUUCUUUCUACCAGCAAAAUACCACCGUGCGUAUACUUCUAACGUGCAAUUUUCUGGUUGCUUUUAAUCGGUUUUUAUGCGUUUAGAAGGCCCAGUGCAGUAGAUGUACAUGUUAAAUCAACUUACAGGUUAAGGAAUGCGACCAAUAUGUCUACUCAAAAAUAUUUCUUUUAUGUAAUUUUUGCUUUGCGGCUAACUUUUUUGGUGUAUUCUAUUAUAACUCCGCACAACCAAAACUAACUUGAAAUAAUCAAUACCAACGCCAAACUUGAGCUCUUUCGCUUUCCCGUAACUUGACAAGUAUGGAAGAAGUGUGCGUGAUCCAAAAAGGCCGAUAGUCAUCAACCAAUGCUGAACGUUAUGAUGAAUGCGGUGCUAAACCAGUUGAAAUACGAAAACAUAAGCUGACUUUCAGAUACAUAAUUACCCCCCAGCUCUAAAUAAUUAAUACUCAGAACAAUCAAUAAAAGUUACACCUUAUUUGGCAGUUUCGAGAGAACGUUUCUCGUGCCUCUUGUGCAUACAUACAGCAAAAAAAAGUCGAAACUCGGAAGUGAAGCCCAGUUAACGCUAUAUAUAAUCAGUGCUGAACUAAAAGAAUACCAGAAUUUUUUUGUUUCUAGUUCCUCAUGCGUUUAAGUUUUCUGAUUUGUUGGAAUGAUAUGAGAUUACUUAGCUAAUUAUGAAC